rnacentral:rRNA from 1 species
UACAGAGGGUGCAAGCGUUGUUCGGAAUUAUUGGGCGUAAAGCGCGUGUAGGCGGCUUUGCAAGUCGGGUGUGAAAGCCCUCAGCUCAACUGAGGAAGUGCGCCCGAAACUGCAGAGCUUGAGUGCCGGAGAGGGUGGCGGAAUUCCCCAAGUAGAGGUGAAAUUCGUAGAUAUGGGGAGGAACACCGGUGGCGAAGGCGGCCCCCUGGACCGGUACUGACGCUGAGGCGCGAAAGCGUGGGUAGCAAACGGG